rnacentral:rRNA from 1 species
UACAUGGGGUGCAAACGUUGCUCGGAAUUAUUGGGCGUAAAGGGCUCGUAGGCGGUUUGUCGCGUCGGGAGUGAAAACCUCGGGCUUAACUCGGGGCUUGCUUUCGAUACGGGCAGACUAGAGGUAUGCAGGGGAGAACGGAAUUCCUGGUGUAGCGGUGAAAUGCGCAGAUAUCAGGAGGAACACCGGUGGCGAAGGCGGUUCUCUGGGCAUGAUCUGACGCUGAGGAGCGAAAGUGUGGGGAGCGAACAGG